rnacentral:rRNA from 1 species
AGUGAACGCUGGCGGUAGGCCUAACACAUGCAAGUCGAACGGCAGCACAGUAAGAGCUUGCUCUUACGGGUGGCGAGUGGCGGACGGGUGAGGAAUACAUCGGAAUCUACUUUUUCGUGGGGGAUAACGUAGGGGAAACUUACGCUAAUACCGCAUACGACCUACGGGUGAAAGCAGGGGAUCUUCGGACCUUGCGCGAUUGAAUGAGCCGAUGUCGGAUUAGCUAGUUGGCGGGGUAAAGGCCCACCAAGGCGACGAUCCGUAGCUGGUCUGAGAGGAUGAUCAGCCACACUGGAACUGAGACACGGUCCAGACUCCUACGGGAGGCAGCAGUGGGGAAUAUUGGACAAUGGGCGCAAGCCUGAUCCAGCCAUACCGCGUGGGUGAAGAAGGCCUUCGGGUUGUAAAGCCCUUUUGUUGGGAAAGAAAAGCAGCAGGUUAAUACCCCGCUGUUCUGACGGUACCCAAAGAAUAAGCACCGGCUAACUUCGUG